CUAUCCACAUCAGCAACUCUUCUCUCAAUGAUCCACAUCAGCUUUGGUGGUUACUACAGAAUUUUUGAUCCUUCAACUGCAUGGUGGGCUGCGGCAGUUAUGGCUGUGGAAGUUUCACCCUCACAGCUUCUCAUGUUGCUGCAGUUAUUGCAGUGUGAAUUUGCAUUAUCAUGUCAAGGCCUGUUGAGAGAAUAGCAGAGAUCAAUGAUGGAAAAGAGCUUUGGAAGAUUGUUGUUAGGAUUCACCACCGAUGGAAAGUUGUCUCCAACAGCAAGGAACAUUUUGAAAUGAUCUUUGUUGACAAAUUGGGAGAUGAUAUUCAUGCUGUUGUUCCAGCACCGCAUGUGUCGGUUUUCACCGAAAAAUGCUUAUUAGGCCAUACUUAUACUGUAUCUAAUUUUAAGGUGGUGCCUUAUGUUCUGGC